UACGUAGGCAGCAAGCGUUGUUCGGAAUUACUGGGCGUAAAGAGUGUGUAGGCGGUGCUCUAAGUUCGGUGUGAAAUCUCCCGGCUCAACUGGGAGGGUGCGCCGAAAACUGGAGUGCUGGAGCGCGGGAGAGGAAAGCGGAAUUCCUGGUGUAGCGGUGAAAUGCGUAGAUAUACAGGAGGAACACCGGCGGUGUAGACGGCUUUCUGGACCGUAGCUGACGCUGAGACACGAAAGCGUGGGUAGCAAACAGG
rnacentral:rRNA from 1 species